AGCACCUGUGAUUACUGAUUACCUAAGUUCCCAUAUACAAUAAUAGUUUAAUAAUUGUUAACAAAAUAUUGUAUAUAUAAGAAUUAAUAAUUAUACAAAAGGCUUAAAGCAUUUUGUACCAGCCAACCUAUAUAAUGAGACAUUAUCUGUAGCUUUAUUAAGUGGUAAAGGGACCUAAUUACUACCUAUAUUUUUUAGUAUUUGUGAUAAUUCAUAGAAUUUAUUAGUUCUAUCAAUAAAUAAAAUAUACAUGCAUUACAAUGUGUUUAAUUCAUUAACUUACAAUUUGCACACUGAGGGAAUGUGUAUGCUUUCGGUUAAAAUAUUCUUCCUCAUUCUGCGAGGGCCUCAGGCCAAAACCCACACCAAUCAAAUAAAUAUCACUAAUACAAGCUUAAUAUAAAGGAAAAUUACGAAUUCGGUAAAGAUGGAAACGUAUCUCGUAGGGACGGCUGUCCGGCUGAAAAAUGGCUUGAAGAUCUUGGAGAGAUGCGUACAAGGUCAAUUUCACUUUUAGCAGUAUUUUCUGAAAACGAUCUAACAAUUUCACCCUUUUCUUCGAAAGUUUAAAAUCGCUAAAACGUCAAAAUAUGACAGAUAAGCGAUAUCAAAAAGUUCAACAAAACUGACAUGAAUCGCGUCAUUCUCCAUUCCGUUCAUUCAUUUUGCGAUCUCGAAACGAUCUUACUAUGUAGCUUGUUUUUAGUGCCAUGUGAAUCGCAAUUUCAUAGCUCGUUCGUAAAAAUCUGAAAACGAGAUGAAAACGAAGUUGUUUUUUGUGACACGAAUCACCCUCCUGGGGCGCGAUUCACAUCUCAACCGAAAUAUUUGUAAAGCGAUACGAACGAGUUACGAGAUGAAAUCCGCAAUGUUCAAAAACGCGAUUCAUAACACACAUACUUUGAUCUCGUUUUCAUAUCGCUAGUUCGUAUUGGGAUGGCUUGAGUGAAAUGAAUGAAACUAUAUUUUUUUAAUUGCCAUGCAAAAAUUAUAAAUACUACCACUAAUUUGUUUUAAAUAAUUUUGUUCCUACAAUAUAUUUUGUUGGAAUUAGUGUCGAUAGCAAGUAUCAAGAAACGGCUUUUUAAUUCAACGUUGAAGAAAUUCAUAACCUGUGGCACUUUUGACAGCCGCCAUGUUUUCUACAUAAAAACAUUGAUUUUCUUUGCUCAUUUUCGUAUCAACGUAGUUUUUUUGGAAAAUAAGAAGAAAGGAAGUUUAACUAACUUAGAGAAAUACGACUGAGACAUAAUCAUGAACGAGAUGAACACAAGCAGCAGCCGAUGUGCUUGAGUCGCAGAUGGAGCAAGUGCGUUAUGAGAGGGCCACGGCUUCAGCCCUCACAAUGAAUAGCUGAAGCAAUGAACAGACAGGCUGCAGUCAAUGAGAGGCUUCUUGAGCAGGGGCUCCUCAUAUGGAAAAAGGCUAAUGAAAGGAACAAUCAAGACUGGCGGUGCGCGGGAGGAUCCCGUCCCUGCGCCUGGCCUUCAAUGGCCUCACGCCUCUCUUCUUCCUCUUCUUCAUGCGUCAAUUCAAACAGAGGAGCACCUGUGAUUACUGAUUACCUAAGUUCCUAUAUACAAUAA